AGAGCGACUCCCGAGCCGCACUUCCUGCGUUUUGGUUCUACAUUUGCUCAUUGAAUCCUUUCUGGUUCUAAGCGAGUUACGCCGUGUCAGUAUUCGGCCUGCCGUUUUGGUGCAUUUGGUGAAGACGUCAAUACACUUCAUCCCUCAAAGUUUCAGCCUGCUUUACUGAGACUGGCAAAGAUCUCUCACAGAAUGAUUGCAAACCCACCAUCCUGAAAGGCUUGCCAGAACUUCACAUGCUGCUUCCACGGAGCACCAAGGCCCCCUUUUAACGCCUGUCUGUGAAUGCACAAGGCUGCGAAAAGAGCUACCUGCCUUGCCUGAAGAAUUUACUUUUAAACAGGCGCACAGUUACUCAUUAUCCCUCUGUCCCGUUGAGAUAUAUAUGCAUAUGUCUUCUACAAGCCAGAAAUGUUUUCCUCCAGGACAGAAAGCCCUUCCUUUGAAAUGUAAAUCAUCAAAAAAUUUUGGCGUCUGUUUCCCAUUUUGUGUGGGAAGAUAUAAUCCCAUCUUCUAUAAUUGCCAACUAGUAAAUUGUAAUUGCUUUUACAAUGA